rnacentral:rRNA from 1 species
GUACCUGUGAAGAUGCAGGUUACCCGCGACAGGACGGAAAGACCCCAUGGAGCUUUACUGUAGUUUGAUAUUGAGUGUCUGUACCGCAUGUACAGGAUAGGUAGGAGCCGUAGAGAUCGGGACGCCAGUUUCGAUGGAGGCAAUGGUGGGAUACUACCCUUGCGUUAUGGCCACUCUAACCCGCAGCCCUUAUCGGGCUGGGAGACAGUGUCAGAUGGGCAGUUUGACUGGGGCGGUCGCCUCCUAAAAGGUAACGGAGGCGCCCAAAGGUUCCCUCAGAAUGGUUGGAAAUCAUUCGAAGAGUGUAAAGGCAGAAGGGAGCUUGACUGCGAGAGCUACAACUCGAGCAGGGACGAAAGUCGGGCUUAGUGAUCCGGUGGUUCCGCAUGGAAGGGCCAUC